GGUGUCAUCCGAAUCUGAUUAUAGCCCACAAAGGCAUCCAUGAAGCUUAAGAGUCGGUGUUUCGAAGUCGCAUCAACUAGUUGAUUGAUUUUUAGCAAAGAAAAACUAUCCUUCGGAUAAGCUUCAUUUAGAUUUGUAUAGUCGAUGUAGAUUCUCUAUUUCUUGUUAGCUUUUCUCACCAUCACUACAUUGACAAGCCAAUCGAGAUAAUUAGCUUCUCUGAUGAAGCCAGCCGUGAGGAGCUUGUCGACCUCUUCGUCGAUAACCUUAUGCCUUUCAGGGGUAA
rnacentral:lncRNA from 1 species